AUUGAACGCUGGCGGCAUGCCUUACACAUGCAAGUCGAACGGCAGCACGGGAGCUUGCUCCUGGUGGCGAGUGGCGAACGGGUGAGUAAUACAUCGGAACGUACCCUGAAGUGGGGGAAACGUAGCGAAAGUUACGCUAAUACCGCAUAUUCUGUGAGCAGGAAAGAGGGGGAUCGCAAGACCUCUUGCUUUAGGAGCGGCCGAUGUCGGAUUAGCUAGUUGGUGAGGUAAAGGCUCACCAAGGCGACGAUCCGUAGCGGGUCUGAGAGGAUGAUCCGCCACACUGGGACUGAGACACGGCCCAGACUCCUACGGGAGGCAGCAGUGGGGAAUUUUGGACAAUGGGCGCAAGCCUGAUCCAGCCAUGCCGCGUGAGUGAAGAAGGCCUUCGGUU
rnacentral:rRNA from 1 species